rnacentral:rRNA from 1 species
GAUGAACGCUGGCGGCGCGCCUAAUACAUGCAAGUCGAGCGAACAGACGAGGAGCUUGCUCCUCUGACGUUAGCGGCGGACGGGUGAGUAACACGUGGAUAACCUACCUAUAAGACUGGGAUAACUUCGGGAAACCGGAGCUAAUACCGGAUAAUAUAUUGAACCGCAUGGUUCAAUAGUGAAAGACGGUUUUGCUGUCACUUAUAGAUGGAUCCGCGCCGCAUUAGCUAGUUGGUAAGGUAACGGCUUACCAAGGCAACGAUGCGUAGCCGAUCUGAGAGGGUGAUCGGCCACACUGGAACUGAGACACGGUCCAGACUCCUACGGGAGGCAGCAGUAGGGAAUCUUCCGCAAUGGGCGAAAGCCUGACGGAGCAACGCCGCGUGAGUGAUGAAGGUCUUCGGAUCGUAAAACUCUGUUAUUAGGGAAGAACAAAUGUGUAAGUAACUAUGCACGUCUUGACGGUACCUAAUCAGAAAGCCACGGCUAACUACGUG